rnacentral:rRNA from 1 species
GAUGAACGCUGGCGGCGUGCCUAAUACAUGCAAGUCGAGCGAACAGACGAGGAGCUUGCUCCUCUGACGUUAGCGGCGGACGGGUGAGUAACACGUGGAUAACCUACCUAUAAGACUGGGAUAACUUCGGGAAACCGGAGAUAAUACCGGAUAAUAUAUUGAACCGCAUGGUUCAAUAGUGAAAGACGGUUUUGCUGUCACUUUUAGAUGGAUCCGCGCCGCAUUAGCUAGUUGGUAAGGUAACGGCUUACCAAGGCAACGAUGCGUAGCCGACCUGAGAGGAUGAUCGGCCACACUGGAACUGAGACACGGUCCAGACUCCUACGGGAGGCAGCAGUGGGGAAUCUUCCGCAAUGGGCGAAAGCCUGACGGAGCAACGCCGCGUGAGUGAUGAAGGUCUUCGGAUCGUAAAACUCUGUUAUUAGGGAAGAACAAAUGUGUAAGUAACUAUGCACGUCUUGACGGUACCUAAUCAGAAAGCCACGGCUAACUACGUG